rnacentral:rRNA from 1 species
AACGAACGCUGGCGGCGUGCUUAACACAUGCAAGUCGAACGGAAAGGCCCUGCUUUUGUGGGGUGCUCGAGUGGCGAACGGGUGAGUAACACGUGAGUAACCUGCCCUUGACUUUGGGAUAACUUCAGGAAACUGGGGCUAAUACCGGAUAGGAGCUCCCGCUGCGUGGUGAGGGUUGGAAAGUUUCGGCGGUUGGGGAUGGACUCGCGGCUUAUCAGCUUGUUGGUGGGGUAGUGGCUUACCAAGGCUUUGACGGGUAGCCGGCCUGAGAGGGUGACCGGCCACAUUGGGACUGAGAUACGGCCCAGACUCCUACGGGAGGCAGCAGUGGGGAAUAUUGCACAAUGGGCGGAAGCCUGAUGCAGCAACGCCGCGUGCGGGAUGACGGCCUUCGGGUUGUAAACCGCUUUCGCCUGUGACGAAGCGUGAGUGACGGUAAUGGGUAAAGAAGCACCGGCUAACUACGUG